rnacentral:rRNA from 1 species
GCAGCAUGGUCUUAGCUUGCUAAGACUGAUGGCGACCGGCGCACGGGUGAGUAACACGUAUCCAACCUGCCGUCUACUCUUGGACAGCCUUCUGAAAGGAAGAUUAAUACAAGAUGGCAUCAUGAGUCCGCAUGUUCACAUGAUUAAAGGUAUUCCGGUAGACGAUGGGGAUGCGUUCCAUUAGAUAGUAGGCGGGGUAACGGCCCACCUAGUCUUCGAUGGAUAGGGGUUCUGAGAGGAAGAUCCCCCACAUUGGAACUGAGACACGGUCCAAACUCCUACGGGAGGCAGCAGUGAGGAAUAUUGGUCAAUGGGCGAGAGCCUGAACCAGCCAAGUAGCGUGAAGGAUGACUGCCCUAUGGGUUGUAAACUUCUUUUAUAAAGGAAUAAAGUCGGGUAUGGAUACCCGUUUGCAUGUACUUUAUGAAUAAGGAUCGGCUAACUCCGUGCCAGCAGCCGCGGUAAUACGGAGGAUCCGAGCGUUAUCCGGAUUUAUUGGGUUUAAAGGGAGCGUAGAUGGAUGUUUAAGUCAGUUGUGAAAGUUUGCGGCUCAACCGUAAAAUUGCAGUUGAUACUGGAUAUCUUGAGUGCAGUUGAGGCAGGCGGAAUUCGUGGUGUAGCGGUGAAAUGCUUAGAUAUCACGAAGAACUCCGAUUGCGAAGGCAGCCUGCUAAG